GCCAGUGUAAUGUAGUGGUUUGAGCAUUGGACUACAACUCUGGAGACCAGGGUUUGAAUCCCUGCUCAGCCA
rnacentral:tRNA from 1 species